rnacentral:misc_RNA from 1 species
GAUGAAGAACGUAGCGAAAUGCGGUAAGUAAUGUGAAUUGCAGAAUUCAGUGAAUCAUCGAAUCUUUGAACGCACAUUGCGCCCGCCAGUAUUCUGGCGGGCAUGCCUGUUCGAGCGUCAUUUCAACCAUCAAGCCCCAGGCUUGUGUUGGAGCCCUGCGGCUGCCGCAGCCUCCCAAAACCAGUGGCGGGCUCGCUAUCACACCGAGUGCAGUAGUUUACUCUUCGCUCAGGGCGUGUGGCGGGUGCUAGCCGUAAAACCCCCAACUUCUCAAGGUUGACCUCGGAUCAGGUAGGAAUACCCGCUGAACUUAAGCAUAUCAAUAAGCGGAGGA